rnacentral:rRNA from 1 species
GGCAUCGGGCAGGCUUACCAUGCAGUCGAGGGGUAACAUUGUGCUUGCACAGAUGACGACCGGCGCACGGGUGCGUAACGCGUAUAGAACCUACCUUUUACAGAGGGAUAGCCUUUAGAAAUGAAGAUUAAUACCUUAUGGUAUUGUAGACUGGCAUCAGUUUAUAAUUAAAGAUUUAUCGGUAAAAGAUGGCUAUGCGUCCUAUUAGUUAGAUGGUAAGGUAACGGCUUACCAUGACAUCGAUAGGUAGGGGUCCUGAGAGGGAGAUCCCCCACACUGGUACUGAGACACGGACCAGACUCCUGCGGGAGGCAGCAGUGAGGAAUAUUGGGCAAUGGAGGCAACUCCGACCCAGCCAUGCCGCGUGUAGGAAGAAUGCCCUAUGGGUUGUAAACUACUUUUAUACAGGAAGAAACACUGGUAUGUAUACCAGCUUGACGGUACUGUAAGAAUAAGGACCGGCUAACUCCGUGCCAGCAGCCGCGGUAAC